GGCCCAUUGGCGCAAUGGUAGCGCGUCAGAUUCCAGUUCGUGGAUAUCCUGAAGGUUAGCUGUUCGAAUCAGCUAUGGGUCA